AUAAUGAUACUCCUGUAUAGUCACAGCCCGUGCGUUUGAAGCGUCCCCGGCAAUGAAUACAGCUUGGAGAGAUCCUCGGAGGGGUGAGAUUCCCGUG
rnacentral:ncRNA from 1 species